rnacentral:rRNA from 1 species
AUGGCAUCUACUUUGGAUGUGAGUCUCGAGGAGAAGGUGGAUUCACCGCAGCCGCUCUUCACCAGUGACGAAGUUCUUCGUGUUCGUUUGGACAUGUACCAUCUGAAUGAGUCUCAAAAUUCCGAAGAGGGCCUCUUCAAUUGCCAGGCAGCCAAGGAGGAGCUACGUGUCGACUUCACUCUUACCAGGACAUACUUCUAUCAUGCCAUCCGUGAUGGCAUCAAAGCAAAGUCCUAUCCGCACUUCUUCCACCAAUUUACUGGGGAGGUUGGUACACAUCUAGAUCUUUCCUCCAACUACCGCUUAAUUUCAUAUAUGCAUAUUGCUUGA